GAAACAUCUUAGUACCCGGAGGAAGAGAAAGAAAAUUCGAUUCCCUUAGUAGCGGCGAGCGAAACGGGAAGAGCCCAAACCAACAAGCUUGCUUGUUGGGGUUGUAGGACACUCUAUACGGAGUUACAAAGGACGACAUUAGACGAAUCAUCUGGAAAGAUGAAUCAAAGAAGGUAAUAAUCCUGUAGUCGAAAAUGUUGUCUCUCUUGAGUGGAUCCUGAGUACGACGGAGCACGUGAAAUUCCGUCGGAAUCUGGGAGGACCAUCUCCUAAGGCUAAAUACUCUCUAGUGACCGAUAGUGAACCAGUACCGUGAGGGAAAGGUGAAAAGCACCCCGGAAGGGGAGUGAAAUAGAACCUGAAACCGUGUGCUUACAAGUAGUCAGAGCCCGUUAAUGGGUGAUGGCGUGCCUUUUGUAGAAUGAACCGGCGAGUUACGAUUUGAUGCAAGGUUAAGCAGUAAAUGUGGAGCCGUAGCGAAAGCGAGUCUGAAUAGGGCGUUUAGUAUUUGGUCGUAGACCCGAAACCAGGUGAUCUACCCUUGGUCAGGUUGAAGUUCAGGUAACACUGAAUGGAGGACCGAACCGACUUACGUUGAAAAGUGAGCGGAUGAACUGAGGGUAGCGGAGAAAUUCCAAUCGAACCUGGAGAUAGCUGGUUCUCUCCGAAAUAGCUUUAGGGCUAGCCUCAAGUGAUGAUUAUUGGAGGUAGAGCACUGUUUGGACGAGGGGCCCCUCUCGGGUUACCGAAUUCAGACAAACUCCGAAUGCCAAUUAAUUUAACUUGGGAGUCAGAACAUGGGUGAUAAGGUCCGUGUUCGAAAGGGAAACAGCCCAGACCACCAGCUAAGGUCCCAAAAUAUAUGUUAAGUGGAAAAGGAUGUGGCGUUGCCCAGACAACUAGGAUGUUGGCUUAGAAGCAGCCAUCAUUUAAAGAGUGCGUAAUAGCUCACUAGUCGAGUGACACUGCGCCGAAAAUGUACCGGGGCUAAACAUAUUACCGAAGCUGUGGAUUGUCCUUUGGACAAUGGUAGGAGAGCGUUCUAAGGGCGUUGAAGCAUGAUCGUAAGGACAUGUGGAGCGCUUAGAAGUGAGAAUGCCGGUGUGAGUAGCGAAAGACGGGUGAGAAUCCCGUCCACCGAUUGACUAAGGUUUCCAGAGGAAGGCUCGUCCGCUCUGGGUUAGUCGGGUCCUAAGCUGAGGCCGACAGGCGUAGGCGAUGGAUAACAGGUUGAUAUUCCUGUACCACCUAUAAUCGUUUUAAUCGAUGGGGGGACGCAGUAGGAUAGGCGAAGCGUGCGAUUGGAUUGCACGUCUAAGCAGUAAGGCUGAGUAUUAGGCAAAUCCGGUACUCGUUAAGGCUGAGCUGUGAUGGGGAGAAGACAUUGAGUCUUCGAGUCGUUGAUUUCACACUGCCGAGAAAAGCCUCUAGAUAGAAAAUAGGUGCCCGUACCGCAAACCGACACAGGUAGUCAAGAUGAGAAUUCUAAGGUGAGCGAGCGAACUCUCGUUAAGGAACUCGGCAAAAUGACCCCGUAACUUCGGGAGAAGGGGUGCUCUUUAGGGUUAACGCCCAGAAGAGCCGCAGUGAAUAGGCCCAAGCGACUGUUUAUCAAAAACACAGGUCUCUGCUAAACCGUAAGGUGAUGUAUAGGGGCUGACGCCUGCCCGGUGCUGGAAGGUUAAGAGGAGUGGUUAGCUUCUGCGAAGCUACGAAUCGAAGCCCCAGUAAACGGCGGCCGUAACUAUAACGGUCCUAAGGUAGCGAAAUUCCUUGUCGGGUAAGUUCCGACCCGCACGAAAGGCGUAACGAUUUGGGCACUGUCUCAACGAGAGACUCGGUGAAAUCAUAGUACCUGUGAAGAUGCAGGUUACCCGCGACAGGACGGAAAGACCCCGUGGAGCUUUACUGUAGCCUGAUAUUGAAAUUCGGCACAGCUUGUACAGGAUAGGUAGGAGCCUUUGAAACGUGAGCGCUAGCUUACGUGGAGGCGCUGGUGGGAUACUACCCUA
rnacentral:rRNA from 1 species